rnacentral:rRNA from 1 species
GGGCGUCGACCGGCGCACGGGUGAGUAACGCGUAUCCAACCUUCCCCGCAAGUAAGGGAUAACCCGUAGAAAUGCGGCCUAAUACCUUANGUUUUCCUUAGAGGGCAUCUGAUGAGGAACAAAGAUCCGUCGCUUGCGGAUGGGGAUGCGUCUGAUUAGUUAGUCGGCGGGGUAACGGCCCACCGAGACGACGAUCAGUAGGGGUUCUGAGAGGAAAGUCCCCCACAUUGGAACUGAGACACGGUCCAAACUCCUACGGGAGGCAGCAGUGAGGAAUAUUGGUCAAUGGGCGGAAGCCUGAACCAGCCAAGUAGCGUGCAGGACGACGGCCCUAUGGGUUGUAAACUGCUUUUAUGCGGGGAUAAAGUGGGCCACGCGUGGCCUUUUGCAGGUACCGCAUGAAUAAGGACCGGCUAAUUCCGUG